AUCAUCUUUAUUAUUGGUACUUAUUUAUGAGUACAUUUAGGCACAUAAUGUUAGCACACACUGAACUAUCUUAUGGAGAGUACAAACACAUUCAUGACUUCAUAGAUGUUUGUGCUCAUUGCAAUGUUCACAAACAAGGAUUUUUCUUUGAGUUGUAUGGUGUUUUGUGAGAUUCUUGAACUCCUUUAUAGAACAAAGGCUGAGUAUAACAUGCAUGGAACUACAGUUGUAUAAAAUUAUGAUUAUGUAAAGUACUCAGAUCGCAAUUAUGGUGAUCCAAUAAAACUGUAUAUGUGUUUACAGAAGUUAAAAUAAUUUUGGUUAACCUUUUGUGAUGUUGUAAAUCCAACUAGUAAUUAAUUAUCCAAGGUAAGUUUUCUGUGUCAACUGGACUGUUUUUCUUCUCUUGAAGAUGUUUCACCUUCUAUCCAGAAGGCUUCUACAGUUUUGAACUCGCUGGGGACAGAGCUUGAAAAUAUAGCCCUUGAGGACCAUUAGCAUGCGAAUGAUCUGGGUGGUCUCUAUAUGCAUAACAUUGUUUUAAAUCAGUGUUAAAAAGAAGAUCUAGUUUUAGAAAAAAAAAUUGGCAGCUUCAAUUCCUCCACGGUAUAAUAUCAGUACGUCACAUCUCACUUCCUUUUCAGGUUCUGUUUUCAAAGAGGACAUCUAAUGGAAGUUCCUGUUUCCAGGCUCCCCACUCCAGGAUGGAUAGCCUUGGCCCUCUGUUGCAGACAGGCUGGACUGCACUGGCUCCUCCUCUUCAUCCUUGAGCAAAGUCGACAACCUCUCAUUGCCUUUUGCUGCAGGAAGACGGGAGUUCAGGGAGCAAUGGUGGGAGAGGAAAGAGAACGAUGAUGCACUGGAAAGGAGGAAGGAUUAUGGGAAUGACAGGCGCAGACUAAAGCAUAAAGCACAUCUAGACACAAUGCACCUGCCCAAAUGCAGCUUUUAGUCACACAGCAUCUGUCGUUACUACUACCCCCAGGAACCUGGUCGCAGGGCCAGCAGCCUAAGAAGUUGCCCAAGACCUCCCUCUCCCCAGACACUUCCUCCAGCUCUUGGGGGAGUAUUCCAAGGCGCUCCCAGGCCAGCCGAGAGACAUACUCUCUCCAGCAUGUCCUGGGUCUGCCCUGCAGCCUCCUCCCAGUGGGAUAUGCCUGGAACACCUCCCUAGGGAGGCAUCCAGAGGGCAUCCGAAACUAAAUGUCACGUGCUGGUAGCAGAACUGUGUUCAUAUAAAAGAGUGAAAUUAUGUCUAUUUUCCUCUUUGUAUUAAGAACUGCAACCUAUUUCACAGUGUGUGUCUGAAUGGAUCAAUGCUUUCCGGUAGUGAGAGGGUAGGGUAUUGAUAUAUGUCUAAUCAGAAUAUGGGCUAAGUUAUGACAUACAUAAAAAAAAAUCACCAUGAAUCAUAAAUCCACCUCUGGAAUGGCGUUACACCAGUAACAAGAGGAUGAUGUAACCUAUCAAGUAACAGAUGGGCCAGUCCGUCGCCAGCUAUUAUUGGCCAAAAUUUAAUUAUUUCAUUUUUUUCUAUUCUGGUAAUCAAAACAAAAUAAUUCAGUGCUAAAUUCUGCAAUUUACACAUACUCAGACCUGUAGUGAAAACAUUAAGUAAGCUGACAAAAACCUGUAACUACCGGUAAUAUAAAUGCUUAUAUAACCCUUGUAUUGAAUUGUAUUGUAUUAAAUCUACCAUGUACCAUUGAAAAUACUAAAAGGAUUAAGCAUGAACGUACAUAUAGGUAUAUUGUUUUGAGUUUCAUUUUUUUUAGCUGGAAUGUUUUGAUCAUCUCUGUCCCGCUGUAAAUAUUAGCAUGCUAUAAAUAUAAAUGUUCCACAUGAAAAUCAAUGACAAGCACACCAAUGCUAGCAUUCCUAGUCAUCUUUCUUGCUUUACCAUUUGUCGAUAACUGAUCCCCAACACAACAGGUUGAGACUGUUUGUUGAUUUGGAAAUAAUUAGAAACCAAUCUUGCCUGUAACAAUACACUUUUAAAGAAAACCUUCCAAGUAUGGUUGAGAAAUUAAUUGUUACACAGUGUCUAUAAGGUGGUGGUGAAGGUGCAGCACAUGCAGCAUCUAUUGUCCUGGUACAGUGGAUGUUAUUUAUAAGCCAGUAAGCCAGUC
ensembl:lncRNA